rnacentral:rRNA from 1 species
CAGUCGCCGCGGGAAUACGUAGGUCCCGAGCAUUGUCCGGAUUUAUUGGGCGUAAAGCGAGCGCAGGCGGUUAGAUAAGUCUGAAGUUAAAGGCUGUGGCUUAACCAUAGUACGCUUUGGAAACUGUUUAACUUGAGUGCAAGAGGGGAGAGUGGAAUUCCAUGUGUAGCGGUGAAAUGCGUAGAUAUAUGGAGGAACACCGGUGGCGAAAGCGGCUCUCUGGCUUGUAACUGACGCUGAGGCUCGAAAGCGUGGGGAGCAAACAGGAUUAGAUACCCGAGUAGUCCCUGUCUCUUAUACC